rnacentral:rRNA from 1 species
UCUAAGGUACUCUACUCUGAAUGUACCUGUUCUCAGAAGCUAAGCAGGGUCUGCCCUAGUUAUUACUUGGAAAGGGGAAAUGAGGAUUUUUAAAGAG